rnacentral:SRP_RNA from 1 species
ACUCGGGUCCCGCGCGACGGUGUUUCCCGAACCUCGUCAGGCCCGGAAGGGAGCAGCGAUAAGGGAAGGCCACCGGGCGCCGCGGUCCCCCCGGGUUCC